UACGAAGGGGGGCUAGCGUUGCUCGGAAUCACUGGGCGUAAAGCGCACGUAGGCGGCUUGCUAAGUCAGGGGUGAAAUCCUGGAGCUCAACUCCAGAACUGCCUUUGAUACUGGCGAGCUUCGAGUCCGGGAGAGGUGAGUGGAACUGCGAGUGUAGAGGUGAAAUUCGUAGAUAUUCGCAAGAACACCAGUGGCGAAGGCGGCUCACUGGCCCGGUACUGACGCUGAGGUGCGAAAGCGUGGGGAGCAAACAGGG
rnacentral:rRNA from 1 species